rnacentral:rRNA from 1 species
UUGAACGCUGGCGGAAUGCUUUACACAUGCAAGUCGAGCGGCAGCGCGGGGUAACCUGGCGGCGAGCGGCGAACGGGUGAGUAAUACAUCGGAACGUGCCCAGAUGUGGGGGAUAACUACUUGAAAGAGUAGCUAAUACCGCAUGUGAUCUGAGGAUGAAAGCGGGGGACCUUCGGGCCUCGCGCAUUUGGAGCGGCCGAUGGCAGAUUAGGUAGUUGGUGAGGUAAAGGCUCACCAAGCCAGUGAUCUGUAGCUGGUCUGAGAGGACGACCAGCCACACUGGGACUGAGACACGGCCCAGACUCCUACGGGAGGCAGCAGUGGGGAAUUUUGGACAAUGGGCGAAAGCCUGAUCCAGCCAUUCCGCGUGCAGGAUGAAGGCCCUCGGGUUGUAAACUGCUUUUGUACGGAACGAAAAGGCUUUUUCUAAUACAGAAAGCUCAUGACGGUACCGUAAGAAUAAGCACCGGCUAACUACGU